rnacentral:rRNA from 1 species
CCUACGGGGGGCUGCAGUGGGGAAUAUUGGACAAUGGGGGCAACCCUGAUCCAGCCAUGUCGCGUGUGUGAAGAAGGCCCUCGGGUUGUAAAGCACUUUCAGUGAGGAAGAACGCCUGGUGGUUAAUACCCAUCAGGAAAGACAUCACUCACAGAAGAAGCACCGGCUAACUCCGUGCCAGCAGCCGCGGUAAUACGGAGGGUGCGAGCGUUAAUCGGAAUUACUGGGCGUAAAGCGCGCGUAGGUGGCUUGAUAAGCCGGUUGUGAAAGCCCCGGGCUCAACCUGGGAACGGCAUCCGGAACUGUCAAGCUAGAGUGCAGGAGAGGAAGGUAGAAUUCCCGGUGUAGCGGUGAAAUGCGUAGAGAUCGGGAGGAAUACCAGUGGCGAAGGCGGCCUUCUGGACUGACACUGACACUGAGGUGCGAAAGCGUGGGUAGCAAACAGGAUUAGAUACCCCUGUAGUC